rnacentral:rRNA from 1 species
GGAGUGCAAUAUUAGAGAAAGUGAAUUUGUUAUAAUAUAAAAACAAAGUACACGAAAUGAAAGUAAAUUUUAGGAUGAAUACCAAUGAAAUCCUAGCCGAGCUUAAUUUUUUAUUCUUGACGGCUUUGAGCUGAAUCUCUGCUAUUGCAACCCGAAAGAUGUUGAUCUUUACAAGAAGAGAAUGAAGCCCAGCGAAAGCUGGGUGGAGGUUCGACUUGCGUUCUAACGUGCAAAUUGAUGCUCUCAUUUUUGUAAAGGGGCGAAAUACUCAUCGAAACAUUUAGUAGCUGGUUCCUUUCGAAGUUUCUCCCAGGAUAGCUGUGUUUUAUUAAAGAGUCUUGCCAUGUAAAGCGAACGUUUAGAAGAUUUGGGGAUAACUUUUCCUCUGCUUAUUCACGAACUUUAAAUGGGCACGAAAAAAAAGUUUAACUUAAUUUUUAGUAAACUUUUUAAUUU